CAUCUGUAUUAAGAGUUUUACAUCAUUUAAAAUCUUCAAGAGAAUAUAUCACGAUAUUGUCUCUGUAUUACAACAGUUAAGUCUGACCAUGGUUCUGAAUCCUUCUGUGCCAUUUGGCAAGAGACCAAAAAUACCUUCACCUUUAAUCUUGCAAGAGAAGGACCUCAGGUCUCAGGGCGACAAUACUCACGUCACCACUGCAAAAGUUACAAGGCACGGCUACACAAAGUUUAAACAGGCUAUUUGCGGUCAAAGAGAGAUAUUUAUAGCCGGUGUGUGCUCUACAAGAUCAUAAUCGGAUAACAAUCUUUUGAGAGGAACAAGCCAGCCACUGAACAAAUACUAUUGAAUUGGGUGAAAUUCUUAACGCUUCAGCAUAAUCGUUAACCCUCUGUUACGCAACAACUACCCAGCUGCUGGAGCAAUGAGCAAUCCACUUAUAGUGGGAAGAUUAAAGAAGAUAAUCAAAGAAAUGAAUAGUAGAGAUUGUUCGAUAGAAUAAGAAGCAAGAAUAUAUCCCCGUAACAUGUGCAGGGGAGGUUUGAAAGUAAGAGUAUAAUUUUUGCGCUUGGAAGUUUCUUUUCAUGUCUGAAACUAUAUUUUUUUUAAUUGUUCAUGCAAUUGAAUCGGUUUUCCAAAAAUUAUCAGUUUACAUCA